rnacentral:rRNA from 1 species
AGGUAGUAAUAUUUUUUAUUCAAACCUAUUUAUACACGGCGGCAUUUCAUCUUAUUAGAGGAAUCUGUGAUAUAAUAGAUAAUCCACAAUAACUUUCACUUUAAAUAAAAACUUAUAUACCGCCAUCUAAAGAAUUAAAUUUAAAAAUUUACUCACAAUAACUAUUAAAAAGUUAGGUCAAGGUAUAGUCAAUAUUAAAGAACUAAUGGAUUACAUUAAAAAAAUUUAUGGAUUAAAUAAAACAAUUCUUUUAUAAAAUAGGAUUUAAAAGUAAUAUUAUAAUAAUAUUAUUAUAUUAAUAAGAUAAUAAAUGUGU